UUCCGGUUGAUCCUGCCGGACCCGACUGCUAUCAGAGUGGGACUAAGCCAUGCGAGUCAACAUAGCAAUAUGUGGCAUACGGCUCAGUAACACGUAGUCAACAUGCCCAGGGGACGUGGAUAACCUCGGGAAACUGAGGAUAAACCGCGAUAGGUCAUCACUUCUGGAAUGGGUAAUGACUUAAACCUAUAUGGCCCCUGGAUUGGACUGCGGCCGAUCAGGCUGUUGGUGAGGUAAUGGCCCACCAAACCUGUAACCGGUACGGGCUCUGAGAGGAGGAGCCCGGAGAUGGGCACUGAGACAAGGGCCCAGGCCCUAUGGGGCGCAGCAGGCGCGAAACCUCUGCAAUAGGCGAAAGCUUGACAGGGUUACUCUGAGUGAUUUCCGUUAAGGAGAUCUUUUGGCACCUCUAAAAAUGGUGCAGAAUAAGGGGUGGGCAAGUCUGGUGUCAGCCGCCGCGGUAAUACCAGCACCCCGAGUGGUCGGGACGUUUAUUGGGCCUAAAGCAUCCGUAGCCGGUUCUACAAGUCUUCCGUUAAAUCCACCUGCUUAACAGAUGGGCUGCGGAAGAUACUAUAGAGCUAGGAGGCGGGAGAGGCAAGCGGUACUCGAUGGGUAGGGGUAAAAUCCGUUGAUCCAUUGAAGACCACCAGUGGCGAAGGCGGCUUGCCAGAACGCGCUCGACGGUGAGGGAUGAAAGCUGGGGGAGCAAACCGGAUUAGAUACCCGGGUAGUCCCAGCUGUAAACGAUGCAGACUCGGUGAUGAGUUGGCUUAUUGCUAACUCAGUGCCGCAGGGAAGCCGUUAAGUUUGCCGCCUGGGGAGUACGGUCGCAAGACUGAAACUUAAAGGAAUUGGCGGGGGAGCACCACAAGGGGUGAAGCCUGCGGUUCAAUUGGAUUCAACGCCGGA
rnacentral:rRNA from 1 species